rnacentral:rRNA from 1 species
UACGUAGGCAGCGAGCGUUGUUCGGAAUUACUGGGCGUAAAGAGUGUGUAGGUGGUGAUCUAAGUCUGUCGUGAAAUCUCCCGGCUUAACUGGGAGGGUGCGGCGGAAACUGGAUCGCUAGAGUAUAGUAGGGGUAAAGGGAAUUUCCAGUGGAGCGGUGAAAUGCGUAGAGAUUGGAAAGAACACCGAUGGCGAAGGCACUUUACUGGGCUAUUACUAACACUCAGAGACGAAAGCUAGGGUAGCAAAUGGG